rfam:Bacillus okhensis strain Kh10-101 contig52, whole genome shotgun sequence.
AUUCCCUUUAAUCGAGGUACAGAGAGACCUCAAAGGGGGUUGGUUGAAUGAGUUGGUUUACCAUCUCAGCUUCCCUGUACCCUUUGAGCCCUCUCGAAGGGUAUUUUUUAU